GACGUAGGAUGCGAGCGUUGUCCGGAUUUAUUGGGCGUAAAGAGUUCGUAGGUGGUUUUAUAAGUCUGGUGUAAAAGGCUGGGGCUCAACCCUGGUACGGCACUGGAUACUGUAAGACUGGAGUGCAGUAGAGGCAAGCGGAAUUCCCAGUGUAGCGGUGAAAUGCGUAGAUAUUGGGAAGAACACCGGUGGCGCAAGCGGCUUGCUGGGCUGUAACUGACGCUGAGGAACGAAAGCUAGGGGAG
rnacentral:rRNA from 1 species